CCUACAGGCCCUGUGGUUUCCUCUAGAGCUUCUUUCACUUUCUUCUUCUGCUUUUCCCCUCUUCUCUCGUCCCCUGCGCCCACAUCCUCAGCCUCUCUCCCCCAUGUACACAGGUCCUCAGUAAAGACAGCCAAGCACAGAGCUCCUGGGGACCACACCUCUGCCUGGAGACUCUGCCUGUCUUCUCUGCCAAGCCCACAGCCCGCCAUUCCUUUCAGGCCGUCUCCUCCAAGAUCACACAGUGCCCUCCUUCCAGCCACACACCCUGGACCCCCUCCAUAAGCCCAUGGCUUGCCAGCUGUUCUUAGGGCUGUUCUUAAUAACAUUUACCACUAGGACUAACAUUUAUCAAACACUGUCUGCCAGGUAUCCUCCUGAACCAACACAGUCCAAUCAACCUUCCUGUGAUGAUGAAAACAUCUCCUCUGUCCAGGGCAGGAGGCAUUGAACUUUAUAACUCAG